GGGCAUGUGGUGUAAUGGAAGCAUAGCGGUCUCCAAAACCGCAGGUGUGGGUUCGAUUCCCACCUUGCCCA
rnacentral:tRNA from 1 species